rnacentral:misc_RNA from 1 species
UCUAUAAAGCUUCUCCUAAAUCACAAGGGGAAAAUAAUUGUUCUCUUUGCAAUGCAAUACCAUACAUGUUGGUACAUAGAGUAACAGAGGAAGAAAACAGGUUAGGUAUAGGAAAAUCAUUUCUUGGAUUGGAGAAAAAGGCAAUUCUUGAUGUUAAUCAUUAUGCAGUACAAAAAGAAGUUUACUUGGGAUCAAAAUGUCAAGUUGAAGACAAGCCAAAUCCUUGGCAAUUUUGGAUGAUCAUGCUCAAGAAUGGAAACAUGGAUACUUACGCUGCUAAGUGUCCGAAAAACGGGCUGUUAUCUGGCCCGUACGGGCCUGAUAACAACUUUCCGUGUUUCGGAAAAGGGUG